AUAUGUCCACACAUAUACUAAAACGGAAAAUGACACAGAAAAGAGUACCAUGGCACCUCCGCAAGGAUGGCACGCAAAUUUGUGAUGCAUUCCAAAUUUUG
rnacentral:snRNA from 1 species